rnacentral:rRNA from 1 species
AGCGAACGCUGGCGGCAGGCCUAACACAUGCAAGUCGAACGGACCCUUCGGGGUUAGUGGCGGACGGGUGAGUAACACGUGGGAACGUGCCUUUAGGUUCGGAAUAGCUCCUGGAAACGGGUGGUAAUGCCGAAUCUGCCCUUCGGGGGAAAGAUUUAUCGCCUUUAGAGCGGCCCGCGUCUGAUUAGCUAGUUGGUGAGGUAAAGGCUCACCAAGGCGACGAUCAGUAGCUGGUCUGAGAGGAUGACCAGCCACAUUGGGACUGAGACACGGCCCAAACCCCUACGGGAGGCAGCAGUGGGGAAUCUUGCGCAAUGGGCGAAAGCCUGCCGCAGCCAUGCCGCGUGGAUGAUGAAGGUCUUAGGAUUGUAAAAUCCUUUCACCGGUGAAGAUAAUGACUGUAGCCGGAGAAGAAGCCCCGGCUAACUUCGUGCCAGCCGCCGCCGUAAAAC